rnacentral:tRNA from 1 species
GGGUAGAUAGGUAAGUGGUUAAAACGGGCAGACUGUAAAUCUGUUGGCAUCAGCCUUCGGUGGUUCGAAUCCAUCUCUACCCACCA